ACCCGCACAAGCGGUGGAUGAUGUGGAUUAAUUCGAUGCAACGCGAAAACCUUACCUACCCUUGACAUGUCCGGAAUCCCGAAGAGAUUUGGGAGUGCUCGCAAGAGAACCGGAACACAGGUGCUGCAUGGCUGUCGUCAGCUCGUGUCGUGAGAUGUUGGGUUAAGUCCCGCAACGAGCGCAACCCUUGUCAUUAGUUGCCAUCAUUUGGUUGGGCACUCUAAUGAGACUGCCGGUGACAAACCGGAGGAAGGUGGGGAUGACGUCAAGUCCUCAUGGCCCUUAUGGGUAGGGCUUCACACGUCAUACAAUGGUCGGUACAGAGGGUUGCCAACCCGCGAGGGGGAGCUAAUCCCACAAAGCCGAUCGUAGUCCGGAUCGCAGUCUGCAACUCGACUGCGUGAAGUCGGAAUCGCUAGUAAUCGUGGAUCAGCAUGUCGCGGUGAAUACGUUCCCGGGCCUU
rnacentral:rRNA from 1 species